CGCCGGGGUGGUCGACGUACUCGCGCAGCACCUGGCUGUCACCGAGGUCGACGACGUCCCCCGCGAGGUCCCAGACCUUGCCGUGGUGG
rnacentral:tRNA from 1 species